UACGUAGGUGGCGAGCGUUGUCCGGAUUUACUGUGCGUAAAGAGCGCGCAGGCGGUCGUUCAAGUCGCGUGUGAAAGCCCCCGGCUCAACUGGGGAGGGUCACGCGAUACUGCUCGACUCGAAGGCAGGAGAGGGAAGUGGAAUUCCCGGUGUAGUGGUGAAAUGCGUAGAUAUCGGAAGGAACAUCAGUGGCGAAAGCGACUUCCUGGACCAGUACCGACGUUCAGGCACGAAAGCGUGGGGAGCAAACAGG
rnacentral:rRNA from 1 species